rnacentral:misc_RNA from 1 species
GAAACUGUUCGCAAAUUCUAAAUUCACAAUCAAUUGUAUUUUUUUUUUAAAUGUGAGAUAUUUCAAAAAUUGUAUAACUUACAAGGUUGUACACAACUUUAAAAGCCUGUGGUGACUGGUCCUUCAUUUGACCAAUUUACUGAUAAGAACCAGUUUAGACUGUUGUGUAAAUGAUAUCCAUCUCCUAUUACAUGACUUAGCUGGACUGUUAAACCUGUAAAUGUGAUGGUUGCAUUCUGUGAAGUUAAAGCUAGAGAUGUGGGAGCCAUUAAAACAGCCCAUUGUGGUUUACUACGUUGAUCAUUGCCAACAACAUUGUCUGAAACAUUGUGAUAGGGUGUAGCAAGGAACGUCUGAUUUAGUUUGAGUAUUGGCUUUAAAUAAAUAAAUAAAAAAGAUA